CCCUGGGAUAGCUCAGUCAGUAGGGCAUGAGGCUUUUAAUCUCAGGGUUGUGAGUUUGAGUCCCAAACUCUAGUUUGGG